UACGUAGGGGGCAAGCGUUGUCCGGAUUUAUUGGGCGUAAAGAGCUCGUAGGCGGCUCAGCAAGUCAGUGGUGAAAGCCCGGGGCUUAACCCCGGGAUUGCCAUUGAGACUGUUGUGGCUAGAGUCCGGUAGAGGAGAGUGGAAUUCCCGGUGUAGCGGUGAAAUGCACAGAUAUCGGGAGGAACACCAGUAGCGAAGGCGGCUCUCUGGGCCGGUACUGACGCUGAGGAGCGAAAGCGUGGGUAGCAAACAGG
rnacentral:rRNA from 1 species